ensembl:lncRNA
CUCAGUCGGUAGUUCUGGAUAAGACCAUGCUCUGGGACUUCUAUCAUAGUCAUCCACAUAAACCCGGAGGGUCCCCGGGAGGCUCCUGUUAAGGCGGGGUUACUGUGUAUGUGUUCACUUACCUUGCAAGGCCAGGAUCCUCCUGGGAUGUCCACCCUCUCCCUGAGGCACCUGAAGCAAUCAAGCACCUGUGAAUCAUCUGGCAAUCAGCAGACUACUAUUUAAGCUGAGACCUGACCUUCAGUCUUCACUUGAGUGUGGUCUGACUGCAGUAGUAUUCGCCUCGCUUGUCUGCAUAAUGCCAGACAGCAACAGGUCACAACACAUCUGCCGGCCUUGGGCAGUAAUAUUAAAUUGUACCUUGGUGAUUUUCGAUAUCAUAUUCAUUGCUCAAGGGGUAGUUGGAUUGGUGUACAGCACCGACUGUCCGAGGCAGCCCUUCAUCCCCGUCUAUAUGUGUUUUUUCAUACUCGUACCCAUCUUGUUGGCACUGAGCUGGUGCUACAACUGUUGCAACAUCGUUCUGUGCUCUGUGGCCAUCAUCUUCUAUGUUUGCUGGUUCAUCACAGGUAAUGUGAUGAUCUACUCCAUUUACGAACCGAACUACAAUAAAAACACAACAAAAGCCGAUCCAUACUGCAACAAGACGCUCUACCUGUUUGCAUUUUGGAGCACCAACCUGACCUACAUCCUGUUAGGUGUGCUCCUCUUGUCCUAUUGCUGUCGUAAGCAACGAGAGGCUGAUGAUGAUAACACUCGGAGUCUGCUGCGUGGAUGAAAAGAAAACUAAUAAAUAAAAAAUGAAGCUUUGAACAUGUUGGAAUUUGGCUUUGAUAUGUGUCUUAUAUAUGUUUAGAGCUUUUAAUAACACAACACACUUUUUUCUUUUCAGAGAAAUGUCACAAUUUACAGGUAAAAUACAAAGUUUAGUGGAAAAUGUUUAAUCUUUUUUUUAUUAUUAUUAUUUUCACGGCAGAUUUCUGUUAUCUAAACAUUUGACUGGAUGUUUUUAAUAAUAUAUAUAAUGUUAGGCAAAAUAAUGAACAAGAAUAUUUAAAAUAGCUCAAAACAGAAUAUUUAUUGGAUAGAGCUGUUUAGUCAGAGGGUAAAUUGGUUGUGUAUCAAAAUGCUUGUUUACUUUCUGAAUGUUCAUGUGCAAAAGUCUUUAGCCACCCAUCUUUUCUUCAUAUUUGGCUUCCAAGCAACCAGAGUUUUUUUUUUGGUUUUUGUUUUUUUUUUUUAAAAGUGGUCUUGAGCAGUGGAGUCGUGGCCAAAUGCUGCUUCAGUUUUUAUGAUGGCAAUUUGCAUAUACUCUCGAAUGUUAUGAAGAGUGAUUAGAUGAAUUGCAAAAUUCAUCUCUGUCAUGAAAAUGAACUUAAUCCCAAAAAACCCACUUCCACUGCAUUUCAUCGCUGGCAUAAAAGUAGACCGCUUCAAUAAUCUUCUCGGUAGCACAGGAAAGAAGGUUGAUGAGCACAAGGCUAGAGAUCAUGUCAUGCUGAUUGAGUUGGAAUAGCACACUGGAUGUGUUAAAAGGGGAUUCUUGAAAUCAUUCUUCUUAUUCAUAAUUGCGUUGCAUAAAAAGGGUUUGACAGGCAAGGAGGUUGUUGCAACUGAGAUUUCACCUAAAUUAACCUUUUGUCGGAUCAUCAAGAACUUUUAGGAAACAGGUUUAAUUGUUGUGAAAAAGGCUUCAGGUCACCCAAGAAAGUCCAGCAAGCACCAGGAUCGUCAGCUAUGGGAUCAGUGCCACUAGUGCAGCGGCGGCUCAGGAGUGGCAGCAGGCAGGUGAGAGUGCAUCUGCACACAUCUCAACAUUAUUGAAGCAGUGUGAGAUCAGUUUGACAGAGAACAGAACAGAAGGCAGAAACAUCCAAAGAAGAGCUUUGAAUGUCCUUCAAGAUGUCUGGAGAUCUAUUCCUGAAGAUUUCUUACAGAAAUGACAAAGUUUGUCAUAUUUGUGAUUAAGGAUUAAACGCAGUCACAGCAAAUAUGGACUUCCAAGCUUGUUAGUAACUGUAGAAACACUUUUUUCUUUAUAUACUGCAUUUCCAUCAUAUGUCUGUGAAGGUUCUCAGUCAUCCAGGUCAUCGUAGUCAAAGGAGUUUGCAAAGAAAAGCGUCUGGA